GCCUGGGUGGCUCAGUCGGUUGAGUGUCUGACUUCGGCUCAGGUCAUGAUCUCACAGUUAGUGGGUUCGAGCCCCGCGUCGGGCU
rnacentral:tRNA from 1 species